rfam:Heterocephalus glaber contig168513, whole genome shotgun sequence.
CCAAAGGCUCUUUUCAGAGCCACCUACUGUUUCUGCUAAAGAACUG